rnacentral:rRNA from 1 species
GACGAACGCUGGCGGCGUGCCUAAUACAUGCAAGUCGAACGCAGUGGGGACGGGUGAGUAACACGUGGGUAACCUCCCAUCAGAGGGGAUAACACUUGGAAACAGGUGCUAAACCGAUACUGAUGGAUGGACCCGCGGUGCAUUUGCUAGUUGGGGGGGUAACGGCUCACCAAGGCCACGAUGCAUAGCCGACCUUGGAGGGUGAUCGGCAACACUGGGACUGAGCCACGGCCCAGACUCCUACGGGAGGCAGCAGGAGGGAGUCUUCGGAAAGGGACGAAAGUCUGACCGAGUAACGCCGCUGGAGUGACGAAGGUUUGCGGAUCGUAAAACUCUGUUGUUAGAGAAGCGGUAUCUAAACAGAAAGCAACGGCUAACUACGUGCCAGCAGCCGCGGUAAUAC